rnacentral:misc_RNA from 1 species
ACUUGUGUAGAAUGAAUGGAAUGAUAUGUUUGGUUAAUUGUACAGAAUUACAUUAUGUUGAAUGAUGGGUAUUCAGUCCUUUAUUUCUUGUCAAAUUGUGCGAGAUGUUAUGUUUUUCUGCUAUGCAUGAAAAACGUUGAUAAUGGAUGCAUGUUCAUGUGUACACAUGUAUUUACAGUCUUUACAAAUAUUUCCAUGAUCUUGUUUUUUAAAAGAAAAAAUUAUUUUGCUUUCAAAGGAAUCAAGUUUGCUUGAAAAGAAAAAAAAUAUUUAUUGUGCAUUCCCUGAUAUGAAAGAAAUAAUAAUUAAAAAGAGUGUAAAAACUGGAGAAACCGCAUCAAGGAUAAUAAAUUUUGUAUAUAGCUUUAUUCCAAAGAUUCAAAGUGGGGUAUUGUGUUUAUUUCAUUGAGCUUAAAUGGUUUUGUAUUAAUUUUGUCAUGAUAACAGUUAUGUCAUGUAGAGAUCUAAAUUAUUAGCAUGGAUUGUGAUCACAGAUUUAAUGAUCAGUCUUUGAUUAAGCCGUAUUUAUAGAAACUUCUUCAGAAUUGUCGAAGAUUGAUCAUGAUUCACAGAAUGGGAGGUGCACUGUUGAUUCCAACAAACCAAUACUGACUGAGUGAAGCCGAUGCAUGUUUGGUGGAUGUUCUACAUCAUUAGAAUUUCUGUGAACUGUGUGUUAGAGAGCUUCCUAGAACUAAUAACAGUUACACUGUAUCUUACUGCAUUAUUUAUUGAAUUUUUCAACAACAAAAAAGAAUUUAUCGACUUGUUUCAAUUAAUAUUUAAACUGUGAUAUUAUAUAUGUACAUGUAUGAAUAUACUGAACUUAUUUCCUCUAACAAAUAAAUUGUUAUUAGAU